UGCCAUUACGUCACCCCGUGGACCUCGGAGGCUCCAUGGCGGAGGCGUGGAAUUUGGAGCUGGGCUAUAAAGUCGGUGUCCGGGGCGGCUGUAGUGUGCAGCCCGUCGCUGACUUCAGGAGGUCUCAAACGGUCCGCCGAGGGCUGCAGCUUUCACCCACCUGGCCCUCAGGAAGAGGAGGGCGUCGCUUUGGUUCCAGACGGCGGUAGGAGCAGCUCAGCGUGCUCUCUACCCCUGACGGGUGACAGACAACCAGCUCUCUGGAAUUUCGCUUCAGCUAGUGACCUUGAGCCCAGGGCGAAGCCCAACUUAUAUCUCCUGGCGCAGGAACUUGGUGAGAAUGUCAGUAUAAGGAAAAACUUUCCAUGGUCCAGCCAGUGUACAUCCAGAGAUGUCAGUGUAAUACCAGUGGCAGACUGUGUCAGUCAGUGAACCAGCCAUAUCCUGAAUGACUCCUAAAAUCUCAUGGACUUCUAAAGAAGUACCAUGGCCUGUGCUGCUUUCUUGAUUUCUGGGUUGUUGCGAGGCUAUGUGGGAGCAGUCUGCACUCGGGCUGCUGCUUCGAAGUUGACAUCCAGCACUUCUCGCCCCCUUACUUUCACGAGCAUAAUGAAAUCCAAAAGGAAAACUGAUCACUUGGAGAGAACUGCAAGUGUCGUUCGCCGGGAGGUGGUGGCAGCGGCUAAGGUGUGUGGAGCUGCCAGUGAGUCGCCUUCAGUGAAGAGCCUCCGCUUGCUUGUUGCGGAUAAAGACUUUUCCUUUAAAGCUGGCCAGUGGAUUGAUUUCUUUAUUCCAGGAGUCUCUGUAGUUGGUGGGUUUUCAAUAUGCUCAAGUCCCAGACUGCUAGAGCAAGAGGGAAUGAUAGAAUUGGCAGUGAAAUAUACAAACCACCCGCCUGCUCUCUGGAUUCACGAUAAGUGUACACUUGACUCUGAAGUGGCUGUGAGAGUGGGUGGAGAGUUCUUCUUUGACCCUCAGCCCACAGAUGCCCCUAGAAACCUCGUGUUGAUUGCAGGAGGAGUUGGAAUUAACCCCCUGCUUUCCAUCCUGCGGUACUCAGCAGAUCUCCACCGUGAGCGCGCAAACAAAGGAAGUGGAUAUGAGAUAGGUACAAUAAAACUAUUCUACAGUGCAAAGAACACCGGCGAACUCCUGUUUAAGAAAAAUAUCCUCGAUUUAGUAAAUGAAUUUCCUGAGAAGAUUGCUUGCAGUUUGCAUGUUACAAAACAGACUACACAAAUCAGUGCAGAACUUAAGCCAUAUAUCACGGAAGGAAGAAUAACAGAGGAGGAGAUAAAAGACCACAUUUCAAAAGAGACUUUGUUCUAUAUUUGUGGCCCACCUCCAAUGACAGACUUUUUCUCCAAGCAACUGGAAAACAACCAUGUUCCCAAAGAACACAUUUGCUUUGAGAAGUGGUGGUAGGGAGCCGGCAAAGGUACAAAAGAGAAAGAAGCAAGAUCCAUUCCAGAGAAUUUUUAAAAACCCAAAAGAAGUCCUUAGGCUGCCUGAGGGUUGGCAUUUUUCUUGUGACAGGCUGUCCUGGGCCCAAGGCUGUCAGCUUGGAGAACACUACAGGGUGCCUGGGAAGGAGGACAGACCAGUGCUAGAGACUCAGAAAGCCCAUUUGAGAUUUUGUUCUUGAGCUGAUGAGAGAAGACAAGUUGACCUUUCUUUGUUGCUGCAGGCCUCCCAGGGAUUGCAGGGCUUGAGCACAUAAUUGAUGGCCCCAGAAGAGGGCUGGCAUCACCACUGUAGCCUCUGUGCUAUUUUAAGUUUCAUCAGGUUUCAAGCAGAGAUUAUUUGUCAAUUUCAGUUAGGUGCUGCUUAGUGACUGGGGUUUGUUCUGAGAAGUGUGGUGUUAGGUAAUUUCAUCAUUAUGUGGCCAUCAGGAUGAUACUUCACAAACUAAGAUGGCUAUGGCAUCCAUCGUUAUAUGGUGAAAGUGCAGGGUGACUCAUUGUUCACCAAAAUGUCAUCAUGUGCCUCAUGACUGUAUUUGAUCCCAGAUUUGAAUUCAUUGGGAAGAAGAGAAGUGCUUUUGGCCUGAUGGGCAUAUCAAAGUCCAAAGUCCUCUGCGUUUCAGAGGUGAGGGGAGUGUGAGAAGCUCUGGACUGCCACAGGGAGCCCUGACUUAUCAGUUGUUUCUAAAGUGUCCUGCUUGAAGGCUGGGUUUGAGAGCUGAGUACUCAAGAGGCAUAGGAGCACAGCAUGAUAAUACUCAGACGGCGAGAAAGCACAGCAUGCCCAGCUGGCUCUGCAGUGUUCCAUAGGAGCUUUGUUCUCUUCCCACAAGUCAUCAAGCUGCCAGGAGUUAGAAACUUAUAAAACCUGAAUAACGGAUGAGGAGUGGAGUCCUUUGGACAUUAGGCCAGGACUUUUGUUGUCACAUGAUAAAUACUCACAAGGCACUAAACUCAGAUGAUUUAUUGCUUUAAGUAACUAAACAAGAGAAGAGACAGGCUGUUGUUUCAGUCAAGACAAUCGGCAUUCUCUCUCCAAGGUUUGCCAGAUGCGUCUACUUAAAGCCUUAGCAAUACUUUCUGAACAAUAUAAACACAUGAGACACAACAUACAUGGGUAACAACUUGGCCAAUGAUACACUGAUUAAAAUAGCACAUAACAAUGGCACCCAGCCAGCCUCGAUGCUUUGAAAUGACAGAAGUAACAUAUUCCUAGGAUGUGCUGAAUACAAAAAAAAUUUUUUUGGCAUUAAUACUAACACAGAACACCUUUAAACAUUCUGUAAGAGUAGGUGCACAAAGACUCACCUCUUCAUUUCCAAAUUGCAAGUAUCUAGGACUGUUUUGAGAAAAGCCAGGAAGCUGGACAUCUCCCCUCCCCAAUACUGUCACUUUCUUUGCCAAAGCAGCAAGGGUCUAGCUGGAGAAGAGCCCAUAGGGCUCCAGGGGGUAGUUAAAAGUCACCAGGUAGCUGCUGUGCAAAGCAGCAGGGGACAGACAACUGCUCUGGCAGGGUGCGAAGGGAACAACAGCCUUGGUUUAGAGCCAGGGAUGACCAUAGAUUUGACCCAGAUUCACCCUGGUGGUCCUUUGGGGGUGGUAUAGGCACUGGAUGGUCCAGACCCUCCCUCAGGAGGAGUGGUGGAGCCAGAGCUGGGCCUCCAACCCUGAGGUCUAAAGGAAGUAACCUGACCUAGCAUUCUAAUACAGAGUCAUUAUGCCACCCUCCAAUCAGAUGUGCAGAAACCAACACUGGAAGGGCCUGGGUGAGCUCACAAGGAGAGGUCAAGCCAAAGGGUAAUACACAACACCAGGGCAAACCGGCUGCUGGCAAGAUGCCUCCGGUUUGCCAGAUCAUCUAGCUUCAGCGUAACCUGCCUAAGACUCAGUUUUCUUCUGCUGGAGCAGGUUCUCCAGCAACUUCCUCUGCACCCCUAUUCCCAGCAUCCUCUCCCGGAUUGGAGUGCCCGUAGGCCACCGGGGCCCUGGUGAAGCUGGCAGGACCAUUCUGCACAGCCCCACACUCUGCAGGCUCCCCUCCCAGAUAGCUGGCAGGGGCCAUCUCUUCUCUGACCUCUUGAACAGGAACCUUCAUCAUCUCAGAGGCACCAUCCUCCUGUUGCCUGUCCAGCACACAGUUUCCCACAUCUCCAUCUUUAGAGAACUGGUCUUCUAAAUUCUUCUCGUUUUCUUCUGCUAGUCGUUUGUCUCUGGCACUGAGUUUGCCUUUGGAUUUCCUCAUCUGCCUGCUGUGUAUGUCUUCUCGGGAGAAUCGCCACUGAAACUGGAAAUCACGAGAAUGGGAUAAAUACACAGCCUCUCUGACCUCAGCUUCCUGCCCAAAUCAACUGACCAGACCCAACUGCCAGGAUUCCUGAGUCAACACCAACCCAUCUAUCCAUCUGUUCAUGUCUUAGAGAGUUGAUUCUAAAUGUGGAUUUGGGGGUGCUGUGGGGUGUGCGUUCUGAUGCAUCCCUUACCAAUGUGGCAAAAGGAGUCCUGAAAUCCUGUUAUUUGGAGUGCCAGGAAUAGCUCCUUGGGGCCAUUUUUGCAGCUACUCAUUUCCAGUCUGAGCAUACUGUGGGUUCCUAACUAAGCACUGGGCCUGCAUUCUCUCCCCAGCUUACUAAGUUAGGGCACAGGCCAUGGGGCAGAUGCUGUUCCUGUGUCACCCAGAGCCCUCUGCAGGACUGACAGAUUCUUUCCUCAGCUGCAAGGACUGCUGCCAGCCCUCUCACCAUCUUGCCUAUGGUCCCUCCUCUGCCCAUGGUGACCUAGAACAGCUAGUCCAGGUGGUACGUAACAGCUCAUCACCUUGACCUAACUCUGAAAGGCCAUCCCGGCUCUAGAGCCACCUCGGGGCUUGUGACUGCAUCAUAGCCCAGGUUUUCCCUCUGUUCCCUCCUCCACCCGCCAGAUGUCUUAAGGGCACACCCUCCAAAAACUUCCUCCACCCAAAUCUAUCUAGGAGGCUACUUCGCGAGAAGCCCAACUGGCAACCAAACAGAGCUGAGCCAAGAACCCUGGUCUCAUCAAAGCUCUGCAGCAAGACUGCCCAGGAGAGGCCCAGCCCUGCCACUCCCUGGACAGAUUGCUCAACUUGUUUUCUCAUCUGUGACCCACAGGAUACACAGGGGCUUUCAUUUUCAGUUCCCAUCAUGGUCACUUCCUUCCACUUCAGCUGAACCACAGUGGUGACACCAAAUAUGUACUUUAAUUAGACACUGUGAUUGAAGGAAGCCUUUGGUUCCUACAGUGUAUCACAUGGCUAGAGAAGGGGGCCCAGGACUGCAAUUGCACCAUCAGUGGGAAACUUACCAUACACAUACGUAUGAGUACUUUGCUAUGAAAAACCAAACAUAUGUAAAUUUUUAAAAACCAUCCCACCUUUGCAGAGUUUCCCGUGGCAGAGAUCUAUUUCCUUAAAUAAAACAUUUGCAGAAACACAA